GGGUUGUGAGGUUAAGCGACUAAGCGUACACGGUGGAUGCCCUGGCAGUCAGAGGCGAUGAAGGACGUGCUAAUCUGCGAUAAGCGUCGGUAAGGUGAUAUGAACCGUUAUAACCGGCGAUUUCCGAAUGGGGAAACCCAGUGUGUUUCGACACACUAUCAUUAACUGAAUCCAUAGGUUAAUGAGGCGAACCGGGGGAACUGAAACAUCUAAGUACCCCGAGGAAAAGAAAUCAACCGAGAUUCCCCCAGUAGCGGCGAGCGAACGGGGAGCAGCCCAGAGCCUGAAUCAGUAUGUGUGUUAGUGGAAGCGUCUGGAAAGGCGCGCGAUACAGGGUGACAGCCCCGUACACAAAAAUGCACAUGCUGUGAGCUCGAUGAGUAGGGCGGGACACGUGGUAUCCUGUCUGAAUAUGGGGGGACCAUCCUCCAAGGCUAAAUACUCCUGACUGACCGAUAGUGAACCAGUACCGUGAGGGAAAGGCGAAAAGAACCCCGGCGAGGGGAGUGAAAAAGAACCUGAAACCGUGUACGUACAAGCAGUGGGAGCACGCUUAGGCGUGUGACUGCGUACCUUUUGUAUAAUGGGUCAGCGACUUAUAUUCUGUAGCAAGGUUAACCGAAUAGGGGAGCCGAAGGGAAACCGAGUCUUAACUGGGCGUUAAGUUGCAGGGUAUAGACCCGAAACCCGGUGAUCUAGCCAUGGGCAGGUUGAAGGUUGGGUAACACUAACUGGAGGACCGAACCGACUAAUGUUGAAAAAUUAGCGGAUGACUUGUGGCUGGGGGUGAAAGGCCAAUCAAACCGGGAGAUAGCUGGUUCUCCCCGAAAGCUAUUUAGGUAGCGCCUCGUGAAUUCAUCUCCGGGGGUAGAGCACUGUUUCGGCAAGGGGGUCAUCCCGACUUACCAACCCGAUGCAAACUGCGAAUACCGGAGAAUGUUAUCACGGGAGACACACGGCGGGUGCUAACGUCCGUCGUGAAGAGGGAAACAACCCAGACCGCCAGCUAAGGUCCCAAAGUCAUGGUUAAGUGGGAAACGAUGUGGGAAGGCCCAGACAGCCAGGAUGUUGGCUUAGAAGCAGCCAUCAUUUAAAGAAAGCGUAAUAGCUCACUGGUCGAGUCGGCCUGCGCGGAAGAUGUAACGGGGCUAAACCAUGCACCGAAGCUGCGGCAGCGACNNNNNNNNNNNNNNNNNNNNNNNNNNNNNNNNNNNNNNNNNNNNNNNNNAUGCUGGAGGUAUCAGAAGUGCGAAUGCUGACAUAAGUAACGAUAAAGCGGGUGAAAAGCCCGCUCGCCGGAAGACCAAGGGUUCCUGUCCAACGUUAAUCGGGGCAGGGUGAGUCGACCCCUAAGGCGAGGCCGAAAGGCGUAGUCGAUGGGAAACAGGUUAAUAUUCCUGUACUUGGUGUUACUGCGAAGGGGGGACGGAGAAGGCUAUGUUGGCCGGGCGACGGUUGUCCCGGUUUAAGCGUGUAGGCUGGUUUUCCAGGCAAAUCCGGAAAAUCAAGGCUGAGGCGUGAUGACGAGGCACUACGGUGCUGAAGCAACAAAUGCCCUGCUUCCAGGAAAAGCCUCUAAGCAUCAGGUAACAUCAAAUCGUACCCCAAACCGACACAGGUGGUCAGGUAGAGAAUACCAAGGCGCUUGAGAGAACUCGGGUGAAGGAACUAGGCAAAAUGGUGCCGUAACUUCGGGAGAAGGCACGCUGAUAUGUAGGUGAAGCGACUUGCUCGUGGAGCUGAAAUCAGUCGAAGAUACCAGCUGGCUGCAACUGUUUAUUAAAAACACAGCACUGUGCAAACACGAAAGUGGACGUAUACGGUGUGACGCCUGCCCGGUGCCGGAAGGUUAAUUGAUGGGGUUAGCGCAAGCGAAGCUCUUGAUCGAAGCCCCGGUAAACGGCGGCCGUAACUAUAACGGUCCUAAGGUAGCGAAAUUCCUUGUCGGGUAAGUUCCGACCUGCACGAAUGGCGUAAUGAUGGCCAGGCUGUCUCCACCCGAGACUCAGUGAAAUUGAACUCGCUGUGAAGAUGCAGUGUACCCGCGGCAAGACGGAAAGACCCCGUGAACCUUUACUAUAGCUUGACACUGAACAUUGAGCCUUGAUGUGUAGGAUAGGUGGGAGGCUUUGAAGUGUGGACGCCAGUCUGCAUGGAGCCGACCUUGAAAUACCACCCUUUAAUGUUUGAUGUUCUAACGUUGACCCGUAAUCCGGGUUGCGGACAGUGUCUGGUGGGUAGUUUGACUGGGGCGGUCUCCUCCUAAAGAGUAACGGAGGAGCACGAAGGUUGGCUAAUCCUGGUCGGACAUCAGGAGGUUAGUGCAAUGGCAUAAGCCAGCUUGACUGCGAGCGUGACGGCGCGAGCAGGUGCGAAAGCAGGUCAUAGUGAUCCGGUGGUUCUGAAUGGAAGGGCCAUCGCUCAACGGAUAAAAGGUACUCCGGGGAUAACAGGCUGAUACCGCCCAAGAGUUCAUAUCGACGGCGGUGUUUGGCACCUCGAUGUCGGCUCAUCACAUCCUGGGGCUGAAGUAGGUCCCAAGGGUAUGGCUGUUCGCCAUUUAAAGUGGUACGCGAGCUGGGUUUAGAACGUCGUGAGACAGUUCGGUCCCUAUCUGCCGUGGGCGCUGGAGAACUGAGGGGGGCUGCUCCUAGUACGAGAGGACCGGAGUGGACGCAUCACUGGUGUUCGGGUUGUCAUGCCAAUGGCACUGCCCGGUAGCUAAAUGCGGAAGAGAUAAGUGCUGAAAGCAUCUAAGCACGAAACUUGCCCCGAGAUGAGUUCUCCCUGACCCUUUAAGGGUCCUGAAGGAACGUUGAAGACGACGACGUUGAUAGGCCGGGUGUGUAAGCGCAGCGAUGCGUUGAGCUAACCGGUACUAAUGAACCGUGAGGCUUAACCUUACAACGCCGAAGCUGUU
rnacentral:rRNA from 1 species